rnacentral:tRNA from 1 species
GGUCCCAUGGUGUAGCGGUUAGCAUCUUGGACUUUGAAUCCAAAUACCCGAGUUCGAGUCUCAGUGGGCCUA